CAGCAGCAGCAGACGAGCCAGGCUGGGCUGGGCUAUUUGUCAGGAACACAGGCUGCAGGGGCCUCUUACAUAUGCAGGGGUCGUAAGAGAAACUCGAGGCCCCCUGGAAGAGGGACCAUGCUGGGACGUGAGGGGGUGAGCCAUUACCAGACCACAGACUAUUUGGCCAUCGUGGGGGCUGAAGGGCAGAAGGCAGGGCAGUCUUGGGGACUCAACAUCUUCAUAUUAUGAUUGGUUUCUUGGCUGACGGACUUGAAAGCAAACAAGCAAAGACUUUAAUCCCACCUUUUAUGUCCUCCACAGACCAGUGUCCCCCAGACAGGGCCUCGAUGAGCCCACUGCUUGAGGCUUCCACAUGAGCCCCUCAACCUUCUGCCGCUCAGCCUCCUUCGGUUUUCUCACCAGGGCCAGCAGCUCAAAAAACCCCUCUGUCCCUCCUAGGGGUCUGGAUCCCAGAGCCCAGAACUCAGGGCCUGCAGCUGACCCCUUCCGGCUUUGUCUUUCCCCACCCACUUUCUGUGGUAAUCAAUAUUAUCAAACAACAGGGACAGACAUGCAAGGCUCCCAGCCUGGCCUGUGGCUUAGGAUCUAUGGGCUUGCAAAGGGGUGAGCAAAGCUCUGUGUUCAGAAAGCUCCCCGAUCUUGCACACAGAAGUGUUUCUUGAGGAAUGAGGGGAGGCCCAGGCACAGGAUGCUUGCCUAGCACACUCAAGACCUAGCUUCCCUCCAUCUUUGGUAACAAAUGAAGAGUGAUUUGAAUACAUAGAGAUGUGACAUCCCUGUGUAGCCUUCAAUGUUUUAGGAAGCAUGACCCUCACUCAGUAAUAAAUAAAACUGUAAAAAGUAA
rnacentral:lncRNA from 1 species